rnacentral:rRNA from 1 species
CCUACGGGAGGCAGCAGUGGGGAAUAUUGGGCAAUGGGCGCAAGCCUGACCCAGCAACGCCGCGUGAAGGAAGAAGGCUCUCGGGUUGUAAACUUCUUUUCUCAGGGACGCAGAAAGUGACGGUACCUGAGGAAUAAGCCACGGCUAACGACGUGCCAGCAGCCGCGGUCAUACGUAGGUGGCAAGCGUUAUCCGGAUUUAUUGGGUGUAAAGGGCGUGUAGGCGGGAGCGCAAGUCAGAGGUGAAAACUCGGGCUCAACCCUGAGCCUGCAGUUGAAACUGUGUUUCUUGAGUGCGGGAGAGGCAAGCGGAAUGCGGGGUGUAGCGGUGAAAUGCAUAGAUAUACGGAGGAACGCCGGUGGCGAAGGCGGAUUGCUGG